UACGGGGGGAGCAAGCGUUGUUCGGAUUUACUGGGCGUAAAGGGCGCGUAGGCGGCCUCCGCAAGUCAGUUGUGAAAUCUCCGAGCUUAACUCGGAAAGGUCAACUGAUACUGCGGGGCUAGAGUGCGGAAGGGGCAACUGGAAUUCUCGGUGUAGCGGUGAAAUGCGUAGAUAUCGGAAGGAACGCCGGUGGCGAAAGCGAUCGACUGGACCUCUUCUGACGCUGAGGCGCGAAAGCCAGGGGGAGCAAACGGGG
rnacentral:rRNA from 1 species